rnacentral:rRNA from 1 species
CGAAGGAUGCAAGCGUUAUCCGGAUUCACUGGGUUUAAAGGGUGUGCAGGUGGGGUAAUAAGUCAGUGGUGAAAGCCCCCGACUCAAUCGGGGAACUGCCAUAGAUACUGUUAUUCUUGAGUGUAGUUGAGGCAGAUGGAAUAUGACAUGUAGCGGUGAAAUGCUUAGAUAUGUCAUAGAACACCGAUCGCGAAGGCAGUCUGCCAAACUAUUACUGACACUGAAACACGAAAGUGCGGGGAUCAAACAGGAUUAGAUACCCUGGUAGUCCGCACCGUAAACGAUGAUCACUCGUUGUUGGCGAUAUACAGUCAGCGACUAAGCGAAAGCAUUAAGCGAUCCACCUGGGAAGUACGACCGCAAGGUUG